UGGGCCCAUAACCCAGAGGUCGA
rnacentral:piRNA from 2 species